GGAAAAGAAACCAACAGGGAUUGCCUCAGUAACGGCGAGUGAAGCGGCAAAAGCUCAAAUUUGAAAUCUGGCUCUUUCAGGGUCCGAGUUGUAAUUUGUAGAAGAUGCUUCGGGUGUGGUUCCGGUCUAAGUUCCUUGGAACAGGACGUCAUAGAGGGUGAGAAUCCCGUAUGUGACUGGGUACCUACGCUCAUGUGAAGCUCUUUCGACGAGUCGAGUUGUUUGGGAAUGCAGCUCAAAAUGGGUGGUAUAUUUCAUCUAAAGCUAAAUAUUGGCCAGAGACCGAUAGCGCACAAGUAGAGUGAUCGAAAGAUGAAAAGCACUUUGGAAAGAGAGUUAAACAGUACGUGAAAUUGUUGAAAGGGAAGCGCUUGCAAUCAGACUUGCACCUGGCGUUCAGCGGGGCUUCGUGCCCCGUGUACUUCGUCAGGUUCAGGCCAGCAUCGGUUUGGGUGGUUGGAUAAAGGCCUUGAGAAUGUGGCCCUCUUCGGGGGGUGUUAUAGCUCUCGGUGCAAUGCAGCCUACCUGGACCGAGGACCGCGCUUCGGC
rnacentral:rRNA from 1 species